GUUGAGGUCUAUCCUGAUGGGGCUUUUCCAAUAAACCUACAUCAUUGGAAAUGCCUCAUAGAGUAAGUAUGUGGUUUCCUUUACUCAUAGAACUGCUUGUUCGAUCUGUGGGAAAGAACUACAAGACAAAG
ensembl:snoRNA